rnacentral:lncRNA from 1 species
AGGCGACUGCUCCCGCGAGGUCAGAGCCGGGCUGUGCCGCUGCCCCCGGGACUAGAAAGGGAAAUCUCCUUGCUAGAGGAGGAAGCCCUAAGAACUCAAGGGAGAUAGGGGUGGCAGGGGCAUUUCCCUGGAUGCCUGGAGCAUGGAGGGUGCGAAAUAAGGAGGCUUUCCUACCCCAUUGAUGAGCUGAAGUUGAUUCCGCACGGGGGAGGAAAGGGACAGGAAGCAUAAUUGGAUGUGCAAGCCUGUGGUUCUUCAGGAAGUUAACACGUGGAACUAACACUGUUGGAUGCUGCUGAACUCUCAGAGAGAUCCACUCCAUUAACGUUAUCUGGAAGUCAUUGGAAAAAUCAUCAUUGACAUCCAACACCAGCACUGGAAUGUUCAUCAGAGCCUCAAAGUGGAGCCUAUAAGAAGCGUGAACGUUUGGGGGACAGAAAAAAAGAAAUGUAACUUGAGUCAAGUUUCACAUACUCGCCAAGUCUUACUCAGAGAACAGAUCUAAAUUCAACAUGACUUUUCAAAGAAACUGCAUGUAAACUGCAUUUAAAAAAACAAAUUCAAUAAAGUUGGCCGGAAACAGAAA